GAUGAACGCUGGCGGCGUGCCUAAUACAUGCAAGUCGAGCGAACGGACGAGAAGCUUGCUUCUCUGAUGUUAGCGGCGGACGGGUGAGUAACACGUGGAUAACCUACCUAUAAGACUGGGAUAACUUCGGGAAACCGGAGCUAAUACCGGAUAAUAUUUUGAACCGCAUGGUUCAAAAGUGAAAGACGGUCUUGCUGUCACUUAUAGAUGGAUCCGCGCUGCAUUAGCUAGUUGGUAAGGUAACGGCUUACCAAGGCAACGAUGCAUAGCCGACCUGAGAGGGUGAUCGGCCACACUGGAACUGAGACACGGUCCAGACUCCUACGGGAGGCAGCAGUAGGGAAUCUUCCGCAAUGGGCGAAAGCCUGACGGAGCAACGCCGCGUGGGUGAUGAAGGUCUUCGGAUCGUAAAACUCUGUUAUCAGGGAAGAACAUAUGUGUAAGUAACUGUGCACAUCUUGACGGUACCUAAUCAGAAAGCCACGGCUAACUACGUG
rnacentral:rRNA from 1 species